UACGAGGGGGGCAAGCGUUGUUCGGAAUUAUUGGGCGUAAAGGGUGCGUAGGCGGUCUGACAAGUCUGAUGUGAAAUCUAUGGGCUCAACCCAUAGUCUGCAUCGGAAACUGUCGGGCUGGAGUAUGGGAGAGGUGAGUGGAAUUUCCGGUGUAGCGGUGAAAUGCGUAGAUAUCGUUUGGAACGCCAAUGGUGAAAACAACUUGCUGGGGGUGUGCUGACGCUGAGACACGAAAGCCAGGGGAGCAAACGGG
rnacentral:rRNA from 1 species